rnacentral:tRNA from 1 species
AGGUAUCGCCAAGCGGUAAGGCACAGGAUUUUGAUUCCUGCAGUCGAUGGUUCGAAUCCAUCUACCUC